rnacentral:tRNA from 6 species
GGCGAGAUAGCUCAGUUGGCUAGAGCACACGGUUCAUACCCGUGGUGUCGGGAGUUCGAAUCUCCCUCUCGCUA